CGCACGCUCCAUUGCGAAUCUCAAGCACGCGGUUUUCCACGCUCGAUCCGUAUAAACAUAGAAAUACACGCGUUACGCGCGCGUGUCAACAGGGCUUUUUAAAUCUAGCGAAAUUCGUGAAAAACUUGGCCGACGAAACGUAAAUUAGAAGAAAUUUUCCAACGAUUGUAACGCCCUGGCAGUCGCAGCCGAGUAAACGACGAGACGAAACGGGAUAGUAAAAAAAACAACGAGUGAUCCAGCCAACGAAACGAGGGAGUUGGGUGACCUAAAAUUUUCGGGUGCAUCGAAAGUGGGUGACUAAAAUUAAAACAAAACGACAACAACAACAACAAACGAAGCAUUAAAAAGUAAUCUGACAAUCUGGAAGAAAAAGGAUCGACAGAGAGACUGUUUUAACGGAAACCGGAAGUGGCGGUCAGCCGCGAGGUAACACUCCUCCACAAAAGAGUCCAUCAUCGUCGGAACGCCAAUGCGAGCGUACACACAUGCGCCACUCGUCGCAGACAGGAGUCGCCGAUGAGGGAGAAUGAGCCGUGCGUGACUGGUCAUGAAGCGCGUGAUACAAAAGUUCAAUCGGUCCUACGUCGAAAGAAUACACCGAUGCGAAUGGAAAUUGGAUUUACUGUGCACUUUUAACGCUCUUCGUUGUUGGCUUUGAAAAAACGACGGGGAAACGCGAUGAUACUAAGUGAGAAAAUCACUCAACGAGCAAUAGAAUAUCGAAUAUAAUCGGAGAACCGAACGCGAAACGAUGAUGAAUUUGCGUGAAUUGGAAACUGCGAGAGAUCGCAUUUGGAGCAAGGGCCGCGGCGAAGGAAGGCGAAAAUGGUGAAUUAAUUAUUCAGUUCGGUUCUUCUACGUUUUACGCUUUUUCGUUAUACCUUCGUAUCGUGUGCAAUUGUGUAUGGUUUUCAACGACGAUGAAACCUUCGGAAUAAAAACGUAUACGAUUGCGCUCACGAUCGUUUUUAUUUAAUUAAUAAGAUAAGCAAAAUUAUUGUUGAUUGGUGAUACUUCGCUUGACAUUGGAACACUCAUUUGAACUCCAUCGAUAGAACAUAAAUGAAGUUCGAAACUACGUCUGUGUAAAUAAUCGACAAGUGUGGAUAACCAGUUUAAGUCGCUUCAUUUUUAACAGCGAAGCGUCCCUACGCGUGAAGCGGAGUUUAUACGCUUCAGUAUUUUAGAUGAUGUUGGUUUAAUUUUUUUUCUUCUCCAAAACAAGGACAACAUUUGCGUCACUUGAACUGAGA